UGUUUCGGCUAGGGGGCCAUCCCGGCUUACCAACCCGAUGCAAACUGCGAAUACCGGAGAAUGUUAUCACGGGAGACACACGGCGGGUGCUAACGUCCGUCGUGAAGAGGGAAACAACCCAGACCGCCAGCUAAGGUCCCAAAGUCAUGGUUAAGUGGGAAACGAUGUGGGAAGGCCCAGACAGCCAGGAUGUUGGCUUAGAAGCAGCCAUCAUUUAAAGAAAGCGUAAUAGCUCACUGGUCGAGUCGGCCUGCGCGGAAGAUGUAACGGGGCUAAACCAUGCACCGAAGCUGCGGCAGCGACACUCAGGUGUUGUUGGGUAGGGGAGCGUUCUGUAAGCCUGCGAAGGUGGCCUGUGAGGGUUGCUGGAG
rnacentral:rRNA from 1 species